ensembl:lncRNA
UGAAAUAUUUACUUUUUUACUUUUUAAUUUUUAUACAUUUACAUAUUUAUAUUUGCAAUAUAUAUUUGCAUACAUAAAAUGAUUUAUAUUUUUAGCAGAUUAAUUUAUUCAUAGUGACCUACAAAUGAAGUGAUUCAUUCAAAGACAUCCCGACCAACCCGACACAGCAACAUCAGAUCAACCAAUGGGAUGACUCUUGGAAUCAGACAGCGGUUAAACUUUCACGCCGAAGACGUGCAGACGUGAUCGCCAGAAUGUCGCACCUGAUUCCUGAGCCCAGAGGAGAAUUUUAGCGCUCAGAUGUUGCUCUUUCAAGGCUCCAGAGACUUGAAGGCAUCAUGAAAUUUACAUUAUUUACUUUUGCAAUGCAUGUCUGUGGUCUCAUCGUGCAUGAUUCAUCAGUACAUGCUGUUUGAAAGGACAAAAAGAAAAGCACUUCCAAACUGAAUUUCUCACAGGUUGCUCAUUCAUAUCUCAAAAGACCUAUUGGAAAUCCUAGUUAUAUUUCAUGAAAGUCCAUCUGUGCCGAAUUGCUCACAAGUUGCUCAUUCACAGCUCAAAUAAGGAAAGCCCAUCCAAACGGAAUUGAGCACAGGUUGCUCAUUCAUGACUCAAAAGUCCAAAUAGAGAUCCUAAUUAUGUUUCAUUUAAGUAUCAACUUGGUUUCAGAUGUUUCUUCUAAAAUUCCUUUGAAUAAAAAUAAAUCAGUCAAUACUCAAGUACAGAGCUAUAAAAUGAACAUGGACAGCGUAGUUCAAAUCAUAUGGUCUCUGAAUAUUUUGAUGAGAAAUGUUGGAGUUCACAUUGAGAUCUUCUGUGCAGGUGCCAUUCGGUUUUGGCACUUCCUUCCCGCGCCCAAGUAUCCAGCCGCAUGAUGGAUGAAGCAAGCGAAUUGCAGUGUGCAGUAUUUUGCCGCAGUUGAUUGCAAACUGACUCCGGGUAACAUAAUUAUUUACACUGACACAAUAAUGUAAAAUGAUUAACAUCCGCUCAUAUUCAUACCCAUAUAAAUCACUGGCCCACGUCGAGUUCAUCAUUCGGGGAGGGCCAGCGUCUCGCCCUGAGAUUGGAUGGCGGCCAGAUAAGAAGAGUAUUAAUCGUGGAGAAUAUGCCGCAUGGUCGUUUAAAACUUCGAGAAAAGAGAGGCCCUGGCAGAGUGUUUGGCAGAGCGAUGGUUUCUGGCUCCAGCGGGCAGCGCUCAAGAUGGAUUACCACCCUCCAAACGUCCACGUCCGCACCUGACUUCUCAACAUAGAUGUCCUACCUGUGCAUGAAAUAGGGCUUGACCGGCCAACAUGCACUUUUUCUACCCCUUUCUCCCCCAAAAUGAGAAUUACUGCUGGGAGGCUCUGGACAAUUUUAUGUAGGGCUGGAGAACAAAAAUCAAUAUUUAAUUAUCUGUGAGCGUUUGGUGUCACUACAUCUUUAGAUCUGUAGGGUGGAGUGGACAGGGUCACCGGGCCGGUAAGUGAGUCCGUCAGUGACGAGGCCGUCUCGUCCCAAGGCUCCGAUUGGCCUGUCUUCAAUCACCACAAGAGUGAUGACUGAUAAGUCAUUUAUUCGUCGACCUGUGUGUUUGGAGAAGGCCACCUUAAGAAUGAGCCUGCGUGACAUGCGUACAGUACGCUUGAAGUUAAAUAUGGUUUUGACCUAUCAGAAAUAUGGCUUAAAUGCCCCACCUAGAGGUAGGAUGGGACACUUACUGCUUUGGUGGGUGGAAUCCAAAGCAUGCAUGUUGAGAGGAGUGUGAAUUCAUUUUAGUAACCAAAGAGCGGAGCAUAAUACUUGUCAGUAUUUUAUUAUUUCCCAAUUUUAAUCAGAAAUAGGAAACAUGCCUGUUCAGUUAAGGACCAUUUGAUUCACAGUGGGCUCCCAAAGUCUGAGAUCCAUUG